UACAGAGGUCUCAAGCGUUGUUCGGAUUCAUUGGGCGUAAAGGGUGCGUAGGCGGCGCGGUAAGUCGGGUGUGAAAUCUCGGAGCUUAACUCCGAAACUGCAUUCGAUACUGCCGUGCUUGAGGACUGGAGAGGAGACUGGAAUUUACGGUGUAGCGGUGAAAUGCGUAGAUAUCAGGAGGAACACCGGUGGCGAAGGCGGCUUUCUGGACAGUAACUGACGCUGAGGCGCGAAAGCUAGGGGAGCAAACAGG
rnacentral:rRNA from 1 species